rnacentral:lncRNA from 11 species
CAGAGUUUCACCACCAACAUGGAAAUCAUAACAAACAUGAAGGCUGCUGAAAGGAGAAAGAUCACCCUGGGAUACAUUUUGGAAGAAACUUUCAAAAAGUCUCUAGAAGAUGCUGAUGAGGACCCGAGCCCAUUUUCCGCCAACAGUGAAAGAGAAAGCAAGUUCCUAUAGAUUUAUCUGCUGAAGAUACAGACAUCUUAGGAGCAACAGAAGAACAAAGAGUUGUGGGAGGAACAAGUAAAGAAGCUAGACAUAUUAUAUUAAUAAAGAAAGGAAUGAAGGGAGGGUGAGAGUUAAGAGCUAAAAGAUUAAGUUUUGUCUCUGGUGAACCUCACAGUAGAAUCUCAAAUAGUGAUUGCAUCUUGGAAAUGGUUUUGAUUCACAAACUUUAUCUACACUGGCAUUUUGUAGAUUUUUUAAAAAAAGUUGGAUACCUUUACAUUGUGCUAAAAAAAAAUCACCAAUGAAAGGUAUGUCAAGUAUUUCUCAAAUCAGCUGCUUUCAUUUUAUUUGUUUCUAUAACCAAGACAAUAUGUUUAAGAUGUAUCAGAUGGUACUUCAUUUAUUAUUGUAAUAAAAAGAGGCUUCAGAAGUAACCGAUACCCUCCCCUGAAAGUUAAAAAAAAAAUCCAUCCCUG